UACAGAGGUGGCAAGCGUUGUUCGGAAUUACUGGGGCGUAAAGAGUGCGUAGGCGGCUAUGUAAGACAGAUGUGAAAUCCCUGGGCUUAACCUAGGAACUGCAUUUGUGACUGCAUGGCUAGAGUGUGGUAGAGGGAGAUGGAAUUCCGCAUGUAGCAGUGAAAUGCGUAGAUAUGCGGAGGAACACCAAUGGCGAAGGCAAUCUCCUGGACCUGCACUGACGCUCAUGCACGAAAGCGUGGGGAGCAAACAGG
rnacentral:rRNA from 1 species